rnacentral:lncRNA from 1 species
UCGGCAGAAACUAAUAAAGAAGAAGAAGAAGAAGAACAAAUAGAAAAUUAAAGAUCAUUUAAAAGGUUUUGAACGACUAUUAAUCAUCGCGUUUCGUUUGAAUUCUUUGAUUUCCCGCCACUUAAAAUGGCGUCGUCUCCCGAGCGGUGGUCCACCGCAGACGUAAACGUUCAUCUUCCUAAACGAUUUGGGUGGUCCAGAAUACGCAUAGGUUUCUUCGAAAAAAGAAAUGAAAGAUGAUUGUAUUACAAUGAUUAAAAGCGCGAUUUCGCGCGUUCCUCGUUUUUAUUAAUUGAAACGUUAAAAGUGCCGGAUUCAAAUAAAGAAGCAAUGGAGGGACGAAGAAUUAUUAAUUAGGAGACGAGAGGAACGAUGGAAUACGAAAUUCGCCAACAAGACGGUGGACGUUCGUCUGUUCGUUAUUACUGACCGUUCGCAAAAGGUUAAUAAAGGAAGAAAAAACAAGAGGAAGAGGAGGAGCUGAAAAACAAUGGUUCAUUAGGUAUCCAAAAAAUGAAGAGAGAACAGAAAAGACUGAACGAUGACGUAGGAGGAGGAAAGAAAGAAAGAAAGAGAGAAAGGGAUAUUUAACGUAGCAGCAUGCUUGGAUCGUUGCGUUGGCGAGGGCGAGAAAGAGACAGGAAGAGAGAGAGGGAGAGAGGAGAAAGAGUAAGAGAGAGAAGAGAAUAAAAAGAGAAAGAUAUAGUGGUACUGGGGAGAAGAGUGGGAGCAGAGCCAAGCUGUCUGCUGACUCUGGCGAUCUCCGAGUGCCGAGGAGGCGAGCGCUCCUACGACGACAUUAAGUAAUAUCCCGAAGUCCUUUCUUCGAACGGCUUCCAACACAGUCUUACUACGUGCCGCGCCGACUCGUUUUUCAAGGACAAUGGAUUUAUCCGCGAACGCAUUCGCGCGGAAAAGGCGUCACGCUUGCAUUCCACGCGUUGCAGCGUACCAGAGCAUUAUGCCAACAACAUCAAAAGAGAGACUGCUGCUGCUGCUAUUGCUACUGCUAUUGCUACUGCUAAUGCUGUUAUUACUGUUACUCUUACUCUUGUAGUUGCUCUUUCCUCUUUCUGUUGUUGUUAAUGGUUUCGGAUUAUCCGCUCGUUAAAGUUACCUGCUAAAAUGCAUCCCCCCCCCCCGAAAGAUAACAUCGUCAACUUGAAAACUAUUAUCUCUGAUGUGUCUAUUUUUCUUUCUUCCUUUGUAUCUUUCUUUUAUUUUCAGCACCUUAUUCUACCCUAUAUCGUUUUCUAUCUUCCACAGGUCUAGCUACAUCAAAGGCACUCAGGUAAAGCAACAGCUCGACCCAAAUGGAAAGGAAAAUGUGGUUAGGGAAGAGGCACUUUCGAGAAGAGGACCUCCCACGCGCUCCGACAAAAUGCCUUUCCUCUGACCCCUUCAAUUCGAAUUCUUUUAUCUCUCUCUUUUUCUUUUUCUCUUUCUCUUCAGAUGUAACUCAUUCUUUCUCAUUUCUAGGAUAUGCAAUAUGAGAUGAAAUAAAUUUCGCGCCCACGACCGAUUGAUUACCAUUUCUAUAUGAAAGAGAAAAAUAUACACGGUUGUGGCGCGAAGAUCAUCAAUACAGAGAGUGAAGAAAAUCAACAGGAGUAGUAGCAACAGCAACAGCAACAGAUACAGCAGUAACAGUAGCAGCAGCAAGAGCACGUCAUCGUCCAAAGUAAUCGAGCCAUGAGAUUCUAAACGAAGAAGAUGAAGACGAAGAGGACGACGAUGAUAAGAGGAAGGAAGUGGGUCGAAGUGGAUUCUUGGACAGAAGAUCCAAAUGGGAAAGAUGUUCAUUAAAAUGAGAUAGAUAGAUAGAUAUACAGAUAAAUAAUAGAUAGAUAAAUAGAGAAAGAGAAAUAAGGAAAGAGUGA